rnacentral:snRNA from 1 species
GGAUGUGAGCACAAUCUUGCUGUGACACCUAUCUCCCCAUUGAUCACCAGGGUUGACUGGGCUGACCUGGCUGGCUAGGUCCUCCUUCACUCCAUAUGCAUUCUUCCCUAAGCUGAGUGCUCAGUCAAAGAGGACUAACUUCCCCGAAUAGAGGAGGACCAAUCUUCCGUAGAGGGUAGAAAAGCAGCUAUGCUCCUCUGCUAGAACCUCCAAAAAGGCUCUCAAAGUGGUAUGCUUGUUGACUUAAGUAGCCUAUCUUCUGGUAGACUUGGAUUCAUU